AUACAAUUUCUACCACUAUGGACAGAAGACUAGCCUUUUUCCUCCUUGUGUCGACGAUUCUAAUCUGGUCAGGGCCACAACAGGUUGAUUCCACGUGUACUGGCAAUGCGGCUGGGGGCCUGUACUGCAGCGAGAUUUACUACCGGGACUAUGGAGGAGAUAUUAACUCAAUGUGCGAGGACUCUCAGAACAAACAGGAUUGCUGUCUUUUCUGCUAUCCAUUAUAACAGACAACAUCAGAUCAACCAAUUAUGAUAAAAAAAGAAUUCACCAAAAUUGACUUUGCUUUAGCUGUCAUUUAAUUUCCAUAAAUAUUGAAGCAG
rnacentral:misc_RNA from 1 species